rnacentral:rRNA from 1 species
CCUACGGGAGGCUGCAGUGGGGAAUAUUGCACAAUGGGGGAAACCCUGAUGCAGCGACGCCGCGUGAGUGAAGAAGUAAUUCGUUAUGUAAAGCUCUAUCAGCAGGGAAGAAAAUGACGGUACCUGAGUAAUAAGCCCCGGCUAACUACGUGCCAGCAGCCGCGGUAAGACGUAGGGGGCAAGCGUUAUCCGGAUUUACUGGGUGUAAAGGGAGCGUAGACGGCAGUGCAAGUCUGGAGUGAAAGGCGGGGGCUCAACCCCCGGACUGCUCUGGAAACUGUACGGCUGGAGUGCAGUAGAGGUAAGUGGAAUUCCUAGUGUAGCGGUGAAAUGCGUAGAGAUUAGGAGGAACACCAGUGGCGAAGGCGGCUUACUGGACUAUGACUGACGUUGAGGCUCGAAAGCGUGGGGAGCAAACAGGAUUAGAUACCCUUGUAGUC